GAUGAACGCUAGCGGCAGGCCUAAUACAUGCAAGUCGAACGGUGAACGAGGGAGCUUGCUCCCUCCGGAUCAGUGGCGAACGGGUGAGUAACACGUGAGCAAUCUGCCCUGGACUCUGGGAUAAGCGUUGGAAACGACGUCUAAUACCGGAUACGAGGCGUGGGGGCAUCCCCAACGCCUGGAAAGAACUUCGGUCCAGGAUGAGCUUGCGGCCUAUCAGGUAGUUGGUGAGGUAACGGCUCACCAAGCCUACGACGGGUAGCCGGCCUGAGAGGGUGACCGGCCACACUGGGACUGAGACACGGCCCAGACUCCUACGGGAGGCAGCAGUGGGGAAUAUUGCACAAUGGGCGCAAGCCUGAUGCAGCAGCGCCGCGUGAGGGACGACGGCCUUCGGGUUGUAAACCUCUUUUAGCAGGGAAGAAGCGAAAGUGACGGUACCUGCAGAAAAAGCACCGGCUAACUACGUGCCAGCCGCCGCAGUAAAAC
rnacentral:rRNA from 1 species